GACGAACGCUGGCGGCGUGCUUAACACAUGCAAGUCGAGCGGUAAGGCCCCUUUUGGGGGGUACACGAGCGGCGAACGGGUGAGUAACACGUGGGUGACCUGCCUUUAGCUCUGGGAUAAGCCUGGGAAACUGGGUCUAAUACCGGAUAUGACUCCGCGGUGCAUGCUGUGGGGUGGAAAGCCUUGUGCGGCUGGAGAUGGGCCCGCGGCCUAUCAGCUUGUUGGUGGGGUGANGGCCUACCAAGGCGACGACGGGUAGCCGGCCUGAGAGGGCGACCGGCCACACUGGGACUGAGACACGGCCCAGACUCCUACGGGAGGCAGCAGUGGGGAAUCUUGCGCAAUGGGCGAAAGCCUGACGCAGCGACGCCGCGUGAGGGAUGACGGCCUGGUGUAAC
rnacentral:rRNA from 1 species